GUCGUAACAAGGUCUCCGUUGGUGAACCAGCGGAGGGAUCAUUACUGAGUUUACGCUCUAUAACCCUUUGUGAACAUACCUAUAACUGUUGCUUCGGCGGGUAGGGUCUCCGCGACCCUCCCGGCCUCCCGCCUCCGGGCGGGUCGGCGCCCGCCGGAGGAUAACCAAACUCUGAUUUAACGACGUUUCUUCUGAGUGGUACAAGCAAAUAAUCAAAACUUUUAACAACGGAUCUCUUGGUUCUGGCAUCGAUGAAGAACGCAGCGAAAUGCGAUAAGUAAUGUGAAUUGCAGAAUUCAGUGAAUCAUCGAAUCUUUGAACGCACAUUGCGCCCGCCAGCAUUCUGGCGGGCAUGCCUGUUCGAGCGUCAUUUCAACCCUCAAGCUCUGCUUGGUGUUGGGGCCCUACAGCUGAUGUAGGCCCUCAAAGGUAGUGGCGGACCCUCCCGGAGCCUCCUUUGCGUAGUAACUUUACGUCUCGCACUGGGAUCCGGAGGGACUCUUGCCGUAAAACCCCCCAAUUUUCCAAAGGUUGACCUCGGAUCAGGUAGGAAUACCCGCUGAACUUAAGCAUAUCA
rnacentral:rRNA from 1 species